AGCUUUAUGCAGUGGCAGUAUCGUAGCCAAUGAGGUUUAUCCGAGGUGCAAUUACUGCUAAUUGAAAACUAAAAAAAAAAACAUACAGCCGAUUUCAUACUUAACUGUGAAACACUGAAUGCUUUCCCCCUAAG